GGAUGAACGCUGGCGGCGUGCCUAAUACAUGCAAGUCGAACGCUGGAAAUCUAGCUUGCUAGAUUGAAGGAGUGGCGAACGGGUGAGUAAUACAUAAGCAACCUACCCACGAAGACUGGGAUAAUCUCUGGAAACGGGGACUAAUACCGGAUAGGUAAUCGGAAGGCAUCUUCUGAUUAUUAAAGGUUAAAAACACUGGUGGAUGGGCUUAUGGCGCAUUAGUUAGUUGGUGAGGUAACGGCCCACCAAGACGAUGAUGCGUAGCCGGCCUGAGAGGGUGAACGGCCACAUUGGGACUGAGACACGGCCCAGACUCCUACGGGAGGCAGCAGUAGGGAAUUUUCAGCAAUGGGGGAAACCCUGACCGAGCAACGCCGCGUGAGUGAUGACGGCCUUCGGGUUGUAAAGCUCUGUUGUAAGGGAAGAACGGUAGAUAGAGAAUAUCUAAAUGACGGUACCUUACCAGAAAGCCACGGCUAACUACGUG
rnacentral:rRNA from 1 species